rnacentral:rRNA from 1 species
UACGGAGGUGGCAAGCGUUACUCGGAUUUACUGGGUGUAAAGGGCACGUAGGCGGUUCGGUAAGCCCUGCCUUAAAUCCUCGCGCUCAACGCGAGAUUGUGGUGGGGGACUGCCGGGCUUGAGAGUGGGAGAGGCGAGCGGAAUUCCCGGUGUAAGGGUGACAUCUGUAGAUAUCGGGAGGAACACCAGUGGCGAAAGCGGUUCGCUGGCCCAUUUCUGACGCUGAGGUGCGAAAGCUAGGGGAGCAAACAGG